CACUCACACUCUUCAUCCUAAAGAAAGACAGACUCCUUUAAUCAGCCAUGAAGAAGCUCUACAAGUGCCUGUGGAUCUUACUGGGGUUUUUAUUGAUCGAGGAAAUGGCACGUGGACAAGAAGAGAAUGCAGCACUAUGGGGCAAAACUAGUCAGUCAUCAACUUACGCAGGCUCUGUACCUGAAUAUGCUCUUGAUG